CGAGCGGGCCGGACGGCCGCGCGUGCCGAGCGAAAGCUGUCACGUGAGGAAAGUCCGGGCUCCACAGGGCAAGGAUAACGGGUAACACCCGCCAGGGGCGACCCUCGGACAAGUGCAACAGAGAUAUACCGCCGGGCUUUGCGCCCGGUAAGGGUGGAAAGGCGGAGAUAAGCGCCCGCCCAUCGCCUGGAGACAGGUGGAUGCUGUAAACUCUAUCCGGAGCAACACCGUGGAGGGACAUGCGGCCUGCCCGGCCGUCCCGAGGAGGUGGCUUGAGGCGUGCGGCAACGUGCGUCCCAGAUAGAUGGCCGUCGAUCACAGAACCCGGCUUACAGGCCUACUCGCGCA
rnacentral:RNase_P_RNA from 1 species